rnacentral:misc_RNA from 1 species
GGACGCCACAAAGUGUCCCUGGCCGCCUACACCCACUAUACAUCCACAAACCCGUGUGCACUGUCCUUGGAAAGGGCAUUUGGAGAGAAAAAGGAAGAGAGAAGCGAGAACAGUGCGAUCCGUCGCGUUGGGCGUUGAUCUCUGGCUUGGUCUCUCUGAGGCCCUUUCCUCGCUACAAACUCGAAUGGUUAGUAUGAACGUGGAACUUGGUUGGACCGUCACUGGCCAACAAACUAUACACAACUUUCAACAACGGAUCAGAACCGGGGGACGCUUUCUAUGUUCCUUUUUGUCGAGACUGUGUUUU